CUUCACUUAGUAUCACGUUCGACUGUAAUAUUACUUUGUAAUCGAAAGGUCCCUAGUUCGAUUCUGGGAGCGGAGA